rnacentral:rRNA from 1 species
UUUCCAAGAAAAGCCACUAAGCUUCAGCUUGUAAUUGACCGUACCGCAAACCGACACUGGUGCGCGAGAUGAGUAUUCUAAGGCGCUUGAGAGAACUCUGGAGAAGGAACUCGGCAAAUUGACACCGUAACUUCGGAAGAAGGUGUGCCUUUAGUAGGUGAACCAUUUACUUGGGAGCCCAAUGAGGCCGCAGAGAAUCGGUGGCUGCAACUGUUUAUUAAAAACACAGCACUCUGCAAAGACGAAAGUCGACGUAUAGGGUGUGACUCCUGCCCUUGCUGGAAGAUUAAAUGAUGGGGUGCAAGCUCUUGACUGAAGUCCCAGUAAACGGCGGCCGUAACGAUAACGGUCCUAAGGUAGCGAAAUUCCUUGUCGGGUAAGUUCCGACCUGCACGAAUGGAGUAAUGAUGGCCACACUGUCUCCUCCAGAUACUCAGCGAAGUUGAAAUGUUUGUGAUGAUGCAAUCUCCCCGCGGAAAGACGGAAAGACCCCAUGAACCUUUACUGUAGCUUUACAUUGGACUUUGAACAGAUCCGUGUAGGAUAGGUGGGAGGCUUUGAAGAGUGGACGCUAGUUUGCUUGGAGCCAACGUUGAAAUACCACCCUGGUGUGUUUGAGGUUCUAACCUUGGUCCCUUAUCGGGAUUGGGGACAGUGUAUGGUGGGCAGUUUGACUGGGGCGGUCUCCUCCCAAAGUGUAACGGAGGAGUUCGAAGGUACGCUAAAUACGGUCGGAAAUCGUGUUGAUAGUGCAUUGGCAUAAGCGUGCUUGACUGCGAGACUGACAAGUCGAGCAGGUACGAAAGUAGGACAAAGUGAUCCGGUGGUUCUGUAUGGAAGGGCCAUCGCUCAACGGAUAAAAGGUACUCUGGGGAUAACAGGCUGAUACCGCCCAAGAGUUCAUAUCGACGGCGGUGUUUGGCACCUCGAUGUCGGCUCAUCUCAUCCUGGGGCUGUAGCCGGUCCCAAGGGUAUGGCUGUUCGCCAUUUAAAGAGGUACGUGAGCUGGGUUUAAAACGUCGUGAGACAGUUUGGUCCCUAUCUUCCGUGGGCGCUGCAAGAUUGAGAGAGCCUGCUCCUAGUACGAGAGGACCGGAGUGGACGCACCUCUGGUGUAUCGGUUGUCACGCCAGUGGCAUCGCCGAGUAGCUAAGUGCGGAAGAGAUAACCGCUGAAAGCAUCUAAGCGGGAAACUCGUCUCAAGAUGAGUCUUGCCGGGGCCUAGAGCCCCCUGAAGGGUCGUUCGAGACCAGGACGUUGAUAGGCUGGGUGUGGAAGCGCGGUAACGCGUUAAGCUAACCAGUACUAAUUGCCCGUGAGGCUUGACCCU